rfam:Erinaceus europaeus unplaced genomic scaffold scaffold00291, whole genome shotgun sequence
AUUGCUGCUCGGCCUUUUGACUAAGAUCAAGUGUAGUAUCUGUUCUUAUCAGUUUAAUACAUUGUAUGUAUGUAUGUAUUUCUACCAGAGCCCUGCUCAGCUUUGGCUUAUGCUAGUGCUGGGGAUUAAACCUGGAAUUUCAGAGCCUCAGUUAUAAAAAUAUU